GGUAGCCGGGCUCAGCACUAUCAGGUGUUCUAAACCAAAAAGGCCACCGGAUUUGGGGUGGGAGCAGGGAGAGCCCAGGAAAAUGUGGUUGCUCUUCUGUGCCCACUCCUCCAGUAUCGCUGUGGGUCCGGGCAGUGCAGCCAGUUCUAACACCUGUCUUCUGUCAUCAUGAAUUCAACACCUUAAAUACCAAGUCUUUCCAACGCCCACAACACUCUCCUGUGACCUGAUCC
rnacentral:lncRNA from 1 species